AUUAAGAGUACCUUCAACAAGCUGGCAAUGCUGUAUGGAGAGGAAAGCCAACCCAGUUACAAAAGAAGAAAUAUUGUCUUUGGAACAGGAGGAAUUGAAAAGGUAGUGGGCAGCCUCCAUUCAUCCAAAGGCCAGUAUGAUACUUUGGACUCUGCUUAAGCAUGGUGACUGUAAAUGAAGUGCAACACAUGAAUGUAUUCCCCCCAAGAAAUGCAAUAAACUAUUUUGCUGUCAAGUGCAUUAAGAUUUCAACAUACAGUGAAAUCAUUCUUCUGCUGCUUUCCAGUCAACAGUUUCUUUGGCCCCACGCAGCUCUAUUGAAAGAGCAUAGGCACUUGAGACCUUAUCAGUUUGCAACCUGGCAGAACAUAUUUGAGCUUAUCUGCAUUUUCCAGUGGCUCCAUUGUGUUGGAUGUUUCCAGGAUGUCUACUUUGGCAUCCAGCUUCAGUUGGAUGGUUCUCGCUAGUGUUGGCAGUAAGUAGUACACAGCCCUCUCUUUCUGCUUUUCCUUGUGUGACUUUCUAGUUUUCUUGUUUGUGUCCCCACAACAGGCCUUCUGUAGCUGAGCUGCCUUUGCAUAGUCCUUGGCAUGAAGAGAUGAGCUGUUUCUCUGGGUUCAUCUGUUCUGGCAUCUGUUCUUUUUGCCUAGUCUGAGAGUCUGUCCUUUGCCAUAAAGCUAUGGUUUCUCAUCCUGUUGUACUGCAGCAAGUACAUAAAAUUUCCAGCUUUUUGUCCUCCACUAACCUGCAGGUUCAACACUACUCAUGCAAACGAGCAUAGGUUUGUUUCUUUCUGUAACGCCAUGGCCUGUGCUUCAAUGAUACAAUUUUUUAUUUUUUUCACAGCAAUCUUUGUUUCUCUGUCAACCUAAUAUACAUAGUAUACGGCCUGCAUAAAAUAUUAGUCUUGAGAGCGUUUUCUUAACUCAUAUAUUUGCUGAAAAACUCUUACCCUUUCUUACCUGUAUGAACAGGAUCCUGCUUCAAGCCAGUAAUGUUUUUCCCCUCUUUUUUCUUUCUUUAUCUGAUUCUCUGAAGUUCUAUGUAACAGAAAGAAAAGCCCUUCUUUGACCUGCAAAAUUGU
rnacentral:lncRNA from 1 species